UUCUGCUAUGUUGCUGCUCAU
rnacentral:miRNA from 1 species